rnacentral:rRNA from 1 species
AUUGAACGCUGGCGGCAGGCCUAACACAUGCAAGUCGAACGAGUGGCGGACGGGUGAGUAAUGUCUGGGAAACUGCCUGAUGGAGGGGGAUAACUACUGGAAACGGUAGCUAAUAACGCAUACCAUUGGAUGGGCCCAGAUGGGAUUAGCUUGUUGGUGGGGUAACGGCUCACUAAGGCGAGGGUCCCUAGCUGGUCUGAGAGGAUGACCUGACACACUGAAGCUGUAGCCCUGGCCAUGCUCCUAGGCGAGUCAGCAGUGGGGGAUGUUGCGCUAUGGGCUGAAGCCUGAUGCAGCCGUGCCGCGUGUAUGAAGAGGGCAUUCGGGUUGUGAAGUACUUUCAGCGGUGAGCCGUUACCCGCGGAAGCAGAACCGGCUAACUCCGUGCCAUCAGCCGCGGUAAUAC